rnacentral:rRNA from 1 species
UACGUAGGGUGCGAGCGUUAAUCGGAAUUACUGGGCGUAAAGCGUGCGCAGGCGGUUCGUUAAGUUCGAUGUGAAAUCCCCAGGCUCAACCUGGGAACUGCACUCGAAACUGCGUUUCUUGAGUAUCGGAGAGGAAAGCGGAAUUCCUGGUGUAGAGGUGAAAUUCGUAGAUAUCAGGAGGAACACCAGUGGCGAAGGCGGCUUUCUGGACGGUAACUGACGCUGAGGCGCGAAAGCGUGGGGAGCAAACAGG